GCUAGGAUUACAGGUGUGAGCCACCACGCCCAGCCAUGUAUGUGUUCUUGAAGGGACACUAGAAUAAUCAGAGGGAAACAUAACACUUAUUGAAUACAAAAUCUUUCCCAGGUUCUGUUCUGAAAGCUCUGCUGAUACUAAUUUAUCUAACCCUCCACAACCUCCCAUCCCUGCAUGUGUGUGCCGCACCUCCCACCAAGAGCUGGAGUCUAUUUCUCCUUCCUGGAGAUCUGGGCUGACACGUGACUCGCUCUGUCCAGUGGAAUGGGUAGGAUCAGAAUGGUGACAGGUCUUAAAAGCUCUCGUAGCUUCCGUUUUCAUUGUCUUGGAACGCUCCCACCGUUAGGUAAGCUAGCGCAGCCUAGACCACUGCUUGCGUGGGGACCACGUAAAGGGGGAGGCCAUGUGGAGGAGCGCCAAGGCACCUCAGUGUCCAGGCCCUGGCCACGUGAGUGGGGCCCCCCUGGACCCUCCAGCCCCGGGUGGGCCACCCCUCUUGCCACCACAUGGAGCCCCGUCACCCUCUGCCUGCAGACUGAACAACUGAGCUGCAACAAUCAUCUGGAAGGCUAUAAAGGGUCUUGGAGGGGAGAGGCUGCCAAGAGCCAGGCAAGCCUGCAAUUAUGCGUCAAAGAAUCCUUUGAGAAAGAUGUCUGGAACAAUCAUCAAUACGAUAAACCAUAGGUGUGGGAGGGAGCACAGCAGAGUUGCAAGACCUUACCAUCCUUUCUCGUCCUCAAUACACAUCAUUGAAAUGUCUCCAUAUAUUUGUUUCUUCUGGACUUUUCCACACCACCAAUCAAGAUGCUAACAGAAAGGGAACAAUUUCAAAAGCCUCAAGUCCAACUUCUGACAGAAUAGCCCCAGCUCCAAGAAAGAGAGUCCAAAAUAGGUGCCAAUUUGGGGAAUUCUGUCCAAAAUCGGGGAAAGGAGAGUAAGACCCAAUGCACCUUGAUCCGGUUUCCUUCUCUUGAUAGUUAAUACUUUUAUUAGAAACAAACUCUUUACUGCUGCUCUGAAAUGCAUUUUCCAUAGGGAAACUGACACCAUUCUCAGUCUAACUGAUAAUAAAGCAAAGCCAGUGAAUAUAGAGUUCAUGUCCUUCAAAGCCACUGAAUACAGAGUUUCAUGUCCAAGAAACCCAGGAGGGUCUUCUUGCUCGUUGGUCCUCUGAGCCUUGAGCGCUGUGGGGACCUGGUGGGUAUGGGUGGGCGUUUCCCAGACAGCAAGACAAUUUCCUUAGGAGCACAGAACAUCCAGGGAUACGUCUCCUGCAAAGGUUUUGGAUCCAGGCCAUACUAUACCCCACCUUCCUUGACAACUGCCACAGAAAGAACACAAAAUGCACUAGGAAGAUACGUAAUCCCCUCAUCUUAGAUGCGCUGUCGCUCUAAAAACAGCUGUGGCAACCCCAUCUAACUGUGGUUAAUGCUUCGCCACUUGCAGCAUGCUUGCCUAAACGUUGUUGUCUGUUCUACACAACUUAGACCCAAUUUUCAGGCACAGAAACUGGCUGGGAGAAUUCAAGUUCCUGAGGUAGACAGCAGGAAAGGUGGAGAGUCGGUCUCAAAACUAGAGCUUCUGAUUCUCCGUUACCUGUAUACACAUUUCCUCUGUCACCUUCACCCCCAAUGUCAUCACCAACCAGCAUCUACCAGUUCUGGGAAGCUUACCCUGUGCUGAGCGCUUCAUAUCGAUGCUCUCAUUUAAUCCUUGCAGAUAACCAUACUUGCAUGUAGUAUCAUGCAACACAGGUGCUCAGGGGUACUAGUAUCUUUCUGACUUUAUAAGGAAACUGAGGCCCAGAGAGGCCUAGUGACCCACACGAGGCUACAGAGGUGAAGCCUGGGUGACUAAAUGGUGGCACCUGAUCCCAAGCGCAAGUCAGUCUGACCGGGGACAGCAGCAGCCCAUGACGAUCUGAGCCAUACAGGCUUGUCCCUGGAGGGGCAUAAGUCUGUGUCUUGGGCACAGACAUUUCUUGGUUCUUACUCAGCCAGACCUUCCAUUCCAAAAGUAUUUUAGAGAAAAAGGAGGAAGAGAAAUCAAAAGUAGAAGCACAUACAACAUUUGUGGCCCUGGCCAACUCAUCUGAUUGUAUCUGGCGGCACUCAAGAGGCCUGUGGCCAUAUGAAUAAGUCUGUGCAAGGAAGAAAAGGCCUUUAGAAGGCUGUUUUUAAGUCCCUCCCAAUGGAAGAAAAGAAAUAAGUAUAUUGGUUGAAAUGAAUACUAAUCUCAGAUUGAUCCAGAAAAGAGAAAUAUUUGGUUGUGAAUAGCUACCAUAGUCAUGAACUGAUGCAGUAAGCCUAAUAAUGAGUUCAUUUUAGAGAUUUUUUUUUUUCUCUCUGCUAUCUGACCAUCAGCUACAGACCGAAAACCCAGCCAAGGGUACUUAAACUUUAAGUCUAACCUGUCCUGGGGGAUUUACUUUCUUUCCUGAAUGAUUUUUUCCCCCUAAUAAAACUCAACUCCUUGUAUUGUU